AUUGAACGCUAGCGGGAUGCCUUACACAUGCAAGUCGAACGGUAGCGCGGACUUCGGUCUGGCGGCGAGUGGCGAACGGGUGAGUAAUGUAUCGGAACGUGCCCAGUAGCGGGGGAUAACUACUCGAAAGAGUAGCUAAUACCGCAUACGCCCUACGGGGGAAAGGGGGGGAUCGCAAGACCUCCCACUAUGGGACCGGCCGUUAUCGGAUUAGCUAGUUGGUGAGGUAAAGGCUCACCAAGGCGACGAUCCGUAGCUGGUUUGAGAGGACGACCAGCCACACUGGGACUGAGACACGGCCCAGACUCCUACGGGAGGCAGCAGUGGGGAAUUUUGGACAAUGGGGGCAACCCUGAUCCAGCCAUUCCGCGUGUGCGAUGAAGGCCUUCGGGUUGUAAAGCACUUUUGGCAGGAAAGAAAUCGCACGGAUUAAUACUCUGUGUGGAUGACGGUACCUGCAGAAUAAGCACCGGCUAACUACGUGCCAGCCGCCGCAGUAA
rnacentral:rRNA from 1 species